UACGUAGGGGGCGAGCGUUGUCCGGAAUUAUUGGGCGUAAAGGGUUCGUAGGCGGUUAUUUAAGUCAGAUGUGAAAGGCAUAGGCUCAACCUGUGUAAGCAUUUGAAACUGAGUAACUUGAGUUAAGGAGAGGAAAGUGGAAUUCCUAGUGUAGCGGUGAAAUGCGUAGAUAUUAGGAGGAACACCAGUGGCGAAGGCGGCUUUCUGGACGGUAACUGACGCUGAGGCGCGAAAGCGUGGGGAGCAAACAGGAUUAGAUACCCGGGUAGUCCCUGAGCGGGCUGG
rnacentral:rRNA from 1 species